UUUUAUGGAGAGUUUGAUCCUGGCUCAGGAUGAACGCUGGCGGCGUGCCUAAUACAUGCAAGUCGAGCGAACGGAUGAGAAGCUUGCUUCUCUGAUGUUAGCGGCGGACGGGUGAGUAACACGUGGAUAACCUACCUAUAAGACUGGGAUAACUUCGGGAAACCGGAGCUAAUACCGGAUAAUAUUUUGAACCGCAUGGUUCAAAAGUGAAAGACGGUCUUGCUGUCACUUAUAGAUGGAUCCGCGCUGCAUUAGCUAGUUGGUAAGGUAACGGCUUACCAAGGCAACGAUGCAUAGCCGACCUGAGAGGGUGAUCGGCCACACUGGAACUGAGACACGGUCCAGACUCCUACGGGAGGCAGCAGUAGGGAAU
rnacentral:rRNA from 1 species